GACGAACGCUGGCGGCGUGCCUAAUACAUGCAAGUCGAACGCAGUGGGGACGGGUGAGUAACACGUGGGUAACCUCCCAUCAGAGGGGAAAACACUUGGAAACAGGUGCUAAACCGAUACUGAUGGAUGGAUGCGCGGUGCAUUGGCUAGUUGGUGAGGUAACGGCUCCCCAAGGCCACGAUGCAUAGCCGGCCUGAGAGGGUGAUCGGCCACACUGGUACUGAGAACCGGCCCAGACUCCGACGGGAGGCAGCAGUAGGGAAGUUUCGGCAAUGGACGAAAGUCUGACCGAGCAACGCCGCGUGAGUGAAGAAGGUUUUCGGAUCGUAAAACACUUUUGUUAGAGAAGCGGUAUCUAACCAGAAAGCCACGGCUAACUACGUGCCAGCAGCCGCGGUAAUUC
rnacentral:rRNA from 1 species